GGUUGGGGUUCAGAGUGGAAUCCUUUGGAGAUAAUGAGGAUGUUGUUAGUGGUCGAACAGUUAUUACUGAUAUCAUCGUCAUUAUCAUCUUCUCAAACUGUAUCUCCCAACUGCCAAGAAACUUGCGGAGACGUCGCCGUGCCUUACCCCUUCGGCAUCGGAGACGGUUGCUACUUGAACGAGAACUUCUCCAUCCACUGCAACGUCACCGCCGCCUCCACCCCCAAGCCCUACUUGUGGGAUACCAACAUCGAAGUCCUCAACAUAUCACUCGACGGCGAGCUCCGCAUCCACACCUACAUCGGCAUGGACUGCUACACUGAGUCCGGCGUACACCAACAGCCGCGCACUUACGCCUACACCAACCUCCCGGCGUUCCCUUUCUCUAACACCAAGAACAAGUUCACGGCCAUCGGGUGCGACACGGUUGCCGUGAUCGCGGGAUCCAAAGGGAACGGAUUCUCGAGCGGCUGCCUCUCGGUGUGCACCGGGAUUGACGACGUGACCGAUGGGGCAUGCGAUGGCAUCGGGUGUUGCCAGACCACUAUACCGGAGAUGAUCCUUAAUUAUAAUGGCAGUGUGGCCAGCCUGAAGAACCACACCGACGUGUGGAGCUUCAAUCCUUGCAGUUAUGCAUUCUUAGCCGAAGAGAAGUCCUUCAAUUUCAGUAGGGAGGAUCUUAGUGGCAUGAAGAACACGGUGGUCCCCUCGGUGCUCGACUGGGCCGUUUGGAAUGAGACUUGUGGCGAAGCAGCGAAGGACCUAGCGAGCUUUGCUUGUAAGGCGCAAAGCGAGUGCUUUGAUUUUCCCGAUGUACCCGGUUACCGAUGUAAUUGCUCUUCUGGGUAUGAGGGGAAUCCAUACCUUGGCUGUGUAGAUAUUAAUGAAUGUGCUGAUCCAGAGAAGAACCCGUGUGACGGAAUUUGCCAUAACACCGAGGGAAGUUAUACAUGCUCAUGCCCAAAGGGUUACCAUGGUGAUGGCAAGAAGGGUGGAGAUGGAUCAGGAUGCAUUGCUAAUCCUAAAUCAUCACAUUUGGUGAUCAUUUUGGUUGGGGCUGGCACGGGUACCGGAGCCAUAGUGUUGCUUUUGCUUUGUUGGUGGUUGAACAAAUACAUCAAAAGAAGGCGUGAAGCAAAACGCAAGCGAAAAUUCUUCGAACGUAAUGGCGGAUUUCUGUUGCAAAAACGUCUAUCUUCUAUUGAAGACAAUCAUGUGGACAAAGGCAAGUUAUUCGCCUCAUUAGAGUUAGACAUGGCUACGGAUCAUUUCAAUGAGAAUCGAAUAUUGGGUCAAGGUGGUCAAGGAACUGUUUACAAGGGAAUGUUGAUAGACGGAACGAUCAUUGCGGUCAAGAAAUCCAAUAUUAUUGAUGCAGACAAGUCGAACAGUUCGUCAGUGAAAUUGUUAUUCUCUCUGAAAUCAAUCAUAGAAAUGUGGUCAAGCUAUUAGGAUUUUGUUUGGAGAGUGAAGUCCCUCUUCUGGUAUAUGAAUUUGUCCCUAAUGGAACUCUCUAUCGCUAUCUUCAUGACCCAGACGAAGAAUUUCCCAUCUCGUGGGAAAUGAGAUUAAGAAUUGCCAGUGAAGUCGCCGGGGCUCUUUCAUAUUUGCACUACGAUGCGGCCGUACCGAUUUAUCAUCGUGAUAUCAAGUCAUCAAAUAUACUUUGGGUGAAAAUAUAGAGCCAAAGUGGCGGAUUUUGGAGCUUCCAAAUUGAUUUCCAUAGACCAAACACACUUGACCACAAUGGUGCGAGGAACCUUCGGAUACUUGGACCCUGAAUACUACCAAACAAGUCAAUUUACCCACAAGAGUGAUGUCUAUAGCUUUGGGGUUGUCCUUGUUGAGCUACUAACCGGAGAAAAGCCAAUUUCUCAACUAAGGGCAGAAGAGGACAGAAAUCUAGCCUCGUACUUCAUCAUUUCGAUGCAACAGAAUCGCUUGUUCGAUGUUCUUGAUAAGGAGGUAUUAGACCAUGGUGAGAACGAAGAAAUUAUUGCGGUGUCCAACUUGGCGAAAAGAUGCUUAGAACUUCAUGGAAGGUACAGGCCUACAAUGAAGGAAGUGGCGAUGGAAUUGGAGCAAGCACGAUCACUACGAAAUCCCACAGUCGCCCGACAAAAUGAAGAAGUGAUCAAUCGCAUUAGAACUGGAUCUAUCUAUGUUUCGAGUGUGAUUCCGAUGUCAAUGCAAUUGGAAGCACAGGUAGAGAUGACUUCAGUGCAGGAGGAUCAGUCACUCUUAUCACCGAGAUGAAGAUGCAUU